UGCUCUUUAUUGGGGUCAGGUUUUGUGCCUGUACUUCUUCCGUCUACUGUAUCAUAGGAGCUUAGAAUCCCAGCUGCUUGCGUUCGGCUGCAGUUCUCUGAUGGCUCGCACAGGGUGGACCAGUCCCCUUCCCCUAUGUGUGUGUCUGCUGCUGGCCUGUGGCUUUGCCGAGGCAGGGAAGCUGCUGGUAGUGCCCAUGGAUGGGAGCCACUGGUUCUCCAUGAGGUCAGUGGUGGAGAAACUCAUUCUCAAGGGGCAUGAGGUGGUCGUAGUCAUACCAAAGGUGAGUUGGCAACUGGGAAGAUCACUGAAUUGCACAGUGAAGACUUAUUCAACCUCAUACACUCUGGAGGUUCUGGACCAGGAGUUCAAGGCUUUUGCCCAGGCUCAAUGGAAAGCACGAGUACAAAGUAUAUUUUCUCUAAUAAUGGGUUCAUACAAUGACAUUUUUGACUUAUUUUUUUCAAAUUGCAGGAGUUUGUUUAAGGACAAAAAAUUGGUAGAAUACUUAAAGGAGAGUUCUUUUGAUGCGGUGUUUCUGGAUCCUUUUGAUACCUGUGGCUUAAUUGUUGCCAAAUAUCUCUCCCUCCCCUCUGUGGUCUUCGCCAGGGGAAUAUUUUGCCACUAUCUUGAAGAAGGUGCACAGUGCCCUGCUCCUCUUUCCUAUGUCCCCAGAAUUCUCUUAGGGUUCUCAGAUGCCAUGACUUUCAAGGAGAGAGUACGGAACCAUGUCAUGCACUUGGAGGAACGUUUAUUAUGCCACCGUUUUUUCAAAAGUGCCCUAGAAAUAGCCUCUGAAAUUCUUCAAACACCUGUCACGGUAUAUGAUCUUCACAGACAAAUAUCAAUUUGGUUGCUGCGAACGGACUUUGUUUUGGACUAUCCCAAACCCGUGAUGCCCAACAUGGUCUUCAUUGGUGGUAUCAACUGCCAUCAGGGAAAGCCAGUGCCUAUGAUGUUUGGCGAAAGAGUGGCUGUUCAGCCAACUCACGGGAAAGUGAAAUAAUGCUCUUUCUAAAAAGCAGGAGGACUACAGUUGCAGGCCUUUCAAAAUUAAGCAUGACUUUCAGAUCUUCACAAGGCUAGGCCAGGAGAUGCAAGUGGCAGAAAUCUAAGAGGUUAGACUUGUCUAAGCACUUUUCUCCCCUUUACCCUCCAUUCAUUAUAGUAUGCUCCAUUAAUUAUAGUACCAACCUCCACUUAUGUGUUGCCUGCACCCCACACCCUUUGGCUGAGGGUGAGGCC